CGAUCGGGAGUAGCAAUACUGCCGGCGACCGGCGCAAGGGUGCGUAACGCGUGAGCAACAUGCCCGUAUACAGGGGGGAUAAUCCAUGGAAACGUGGUCUAAUACCCCAUAGUAAUUAUGUAAGGCAUCUUAUAUAAUUUAAAGCUUUGGUGGAUACGGAUUGGCUCGCGUGACAUUAGCUGGAUGGUAAGGUAACGGCUUACCAUGGCUACGAUGUCUAGGGGUUCUGAGAGGAAGGUCCCCCACACUGGAACUGAGACACGGUCCAGACUCCUACGGGAGGCAGCAGUGAGGAAUAUUGGACAAUGGAUGGAAAUCUGAUCCAGCCAUGCCGCGCGCAGGAAGACGGCCCUAUGGGUUGUAAACUGCUUUUGUAUGGGAGCAAUAAGGGCUACGUGUAGUCCGAUGAGAGUACCAUACGAAUAAGCACCGGCUAACUCCGUGCCAGCCGCUGC
rnacentral:rRNA from 1 species